UAGAAAUUCUCAUACCAUUGCAACCCUAAUAGGGAAUUAAAAAACAUUAACAGCUACAAAGAAUGUGGGACAAGGUUGUAAAAGUACAUGCCCCCUUGGCACCCUACUUCUGACCCCACCUAUCUUCAUACAUCUCCAUCUUGCAAGUUUGUGACAUACUGCCAAAUUCUUUCUCUGCCUCUAAAGCAGGGAUGUCGAACUCCAGGCCUUGAGGGUCCUGCAGCAUAGAUAUCACCCUGGGUCAACACACCUGAAUCAAAUGAUUAGUUCAUUACCAGGCCUUUGGAGAACUUCAAGACAUGUUGAGGAGGUCAUUUAGCCUUUUAAAUAAGCUGUGUUGGAUCAAGGACACAUCUAAAACCUGCAGGACACUGGCCCUCGAGGCCUGGAGUUCGACAUCUGUGCUCUAAAGCAAUGGCUGUGUCCGAAUUCAGGGGAAGGAUGCUUAAAAUGCCAUAUUUGGAGGCAAUGACGUCACAGCAACGCGACGAGGACUGUCCGAUUUCAAAGAGCACUCAAAAUGUGGCGACAAAUGUGUCCUACUUUUCCGUGAAUUUGAGGGUUAGUCGUGUCCGAAUUCAGAGGAAGGACGCUUCAAUGCCAUAUUUGGAGGCAAUGACGUCACGGCGACGAGACGAAGGCUGUCCGAAUUCAAAGAGUCCUCAAAAUGUGGUGACAAAUGUGUCCUACUUUGCCCUGAAUUCUAAGGAUGGUCCGAUGUAUCCUUCAUGUCCUACUAUAUCCCAGGAUUCAUUGCGGGUCAUAGAGGAGAUUUGUUUCUGAUAACGAUGGUGGUCGAAGCGGGAGAGGAAAACACUUUCAAAUGACAAUUCUGGAGAAGAUGGGCCUGCAGGGGAAAGUCACCCCCUUGCAGGCCAGAAGACAUGAGAUAACUUUAAAGAAUACAAAGAUUGCAAGUAUCCAGGCUCAGGAGAGUGGGUCAGUGGGAAGCCCACUGCUGCUACUUGGCCCUGGUUUGCCCUCAUGGAUGAGGUGAUAGGACAGAGGCCUUCCAUUAAGCCUCUUGUCCAAAUGUCCUCUCUCCCUGAGGACACUCCAGUGCCAAGCACAACAGUGGGUGACCAAAACGACAGUGAUGACGAAGCGGCUCAGCCACCUACGACAGGGAGAAAGAGGGAAAGAGAUGAUGAGCUGCUAGACCUCAUCAGAGAGGACAUGAGGCAGCAAAGAGAGGCAGAGGAGAGCAGGGAGAGGAUGGACAGACUGUUUUCACUUCUAGAAAGAUGUGUUCCAAAAUGAGUUAUAUAUUGAGAAAUUUAUUUAUUUGAAUAUAUUUGUUACAUUGUUACAUGUGUUGCAUUAGUUUAAAGGUUUUAUGUUAUUAAUAAAUUGAUUCG